CACGUAGGGUGCGAGCGUUGUCCGGAAUUAUUGGGUUUAAAGGGUGCGUAGGCGGCUUUAUAAGUCAGUGCUGAAAUAUCCCGGCUUAACCGGGAGGGUGGCAUUGAUACUGCAGAGCUUGAGUGAAGUCGAGGUAGGCGGAAUUGACGGUGUAGCGGUGAAAUGCUUAGAUAUCGUCAAGAACACCGAUAGUGAAGACAGCUUACUAGACUUCAACUGACGCUGAGGCACGAAAGUGUGGGGAUCAAACAGG
rnacentral:rRNA from 1 species